rnacentral:rRNA from 1 species
GACAUAGGUCGCAAACGUUAUCCGGAAUUAUUGGGCGUAAAGGAUGCGUAGAUGGUUCAAUAAGUUACUGGUGGGAAAUCGAGGCUCAACCUCGUGGAAGUCAGUAAUACUGUUGAACUUGAGUGCAGGAGAGGUUAACGGAACUUUAUGUGGAGCGGUAAAAUGCGUAGAUAUAUGAAAGAACAUCAAUAUGGCGAAGGCAGUUAACUAUUCUGUUACUGACGUUGAGGCAUGAAAAGCGUGGGGGAGCAAAACGG